CAGGGCAAGUACUCGGUGAGUUAAGUUUAAAACGAAGGGGCUUAAUUUAGCGGGCCUAAACCUACGGCCUGUGGGCCUGCAGUGCCAUACUGUCGACAAUUUCAUAUACUGUAUGUGUAUUCAUUUUAGCUUUUCUCACACACAGCUUUUCCCCAACGACGGCUUCCUGCCAGACCUGAGGCUGCAGUUUAAGGAACCAGUACCAACUUCUCCAGUUAGCUUUUCCCCAACGACGGCUUCCUGCCAGACCUGAGGCUGCAGUUUAAGGAACCAGUACCAACUUCUCCAGUUAGCUUUUCCCCAACGACGGCUUCCUGCCAGACCUGAGGCUGCAGUUUAAGGAACCAGUACCAACUUCUCCAGUUAGGGGAGAGCGCGAACGCAGUCCCCCACUACCAGAAAUUAUGCAGUCGAGAUUCCCACAUUUGGGGAAUUCGCAGGGGUCAGCACAACCGGAGU